CCAACGGCCCUCUUUAGGGCCACAAUUCUGACGUGUACGAAUCUCG
rfam:Heligmosomoides polygyrus genome assembly, scaffold: HPBE_scaffold0001086